rnacentral:rRNA from 1 species
CCCUUAGAUGUUCUGGGCCGCACGCGUGCUACACUGAGUGGAUCAGCGGGUCAGGUUGCGCGAAAGUGUUUCCUAAUCUUUAAAUCCGCUCGUGAUGGGGAUUGACGGUUGCAAUUUUCCGUCAUGAACGAGGAAUACCUUGUAAGCGCGGGUCAUCAUCCCGCGCUGAAUACGUCCCUGCCCUUUGUACACACCGCCCGUCGCUCCUACCGAUUGAGUGGUCCGGUGAGGCUUUGGGAUCUGAGCGGAAAGAGCGUUUCGCUGUUUCUGCCCGGAAAACUCAGUCGAACCUUAUCAUUUAGAGGCAGGAGAAGUCGUAACA